rnacentral:rRNA from 1 species
UACGUAGGGUGCAAGCGUUGUCCGGAAUUAUUGGGCGUAAAGAGCUCGUAGGCGGUUCGUCGCGUCGGCUGUGAAAUCCCGAGGCUCAACCUCGGGUCUGCAGUCGAUACGGGCGGACUGGAGUUCGGCAGGGGAGACUGGAAUUCCUGGUGUAGCGGUGAAAUGCGCAGAUAUCAGGAGGAACACCAGUGGCGAAGGCGACACGCUGGGCCGUACCUGACGCUAAAGCGCGACAGCAUGGGGAGCAAACGGG